GGAGGGUUGCCAGAGCGGACGAAUGGGACGGUCUCGAAAACCGUUGUGGUCGCAAGGCCACCGUGGGUUCAAAUCCCACACCCUCCGCCA
rnacentral:tRNA from 1 species